UUUCCCUUUGGGGGGGCGGGGAGGGUCGCUCUCUUAAUGAAACUGCGAAAGUGAAACUGCAGAUGGGCCGGGCUGCCCUCUCGGCGUCCAUAUUGGUUUCGCACCCUCCGAAGUUCCUCAGGCGACCUGUGAACCUGGCCGCGGUAGGCCGAUGGCCGAGGAGCGCCUCGAGGAAGGGACGGUAGGCGGCGGGUGUAACCCGCAAAGGAACUGAAGAAGGGGGCUUGUCGUGGGCCGAGCGUGGGGACAGACCGUGCCUGCAAGGCGGCGGGGGAGGUGAGGAGCCUCUGAACGUCCAAGUCCAGCGCGCAGGUCAGCCCGCGCUCCCCUUCUCUCCAUGAGCUCUUCUCACAGCGCCUCGUCCAGGUCACUCUGGCUGCAGUAUGAAGAACAGACUACAGGGAAGAUUAGGAUGGUCAUGGAAGACCAUAUAGGAGACUACUGCAGUGGUGCCAAUAUAAGCUGAGGUGGUGUGCAAGAAAAAUGCUGCAGUGCCAGGAUGUUUAAGGAAUAAUGCUUCUGGAUAUGUGCAGAAGUAGCUGAAGAGCGGGGAAAUACUCAUUUGAAAAAUUCCUUAACCUUGGCUGAGACCUAAACAGCAGCCCAAUCACAGGUGUGAUUCCAGCAGUUCUCAUGGCCACCUUCCUUCCAUCAGACCUGGUACUCUUCAGGGAGAAUUUGAAGAGUCCUCACUAUGGAGCACAUGAAAAGAAAUGCUUGCAGUUCUGCUAUGGCCCUUUAUCUAGUAAAUAGACUCUAGUAAGUUGAUUUUGCUCAAGCCUGGUGAACAGGCCCUACUUAGAACUUCUUUUCCUCUUGAUUUUAGGUACUGCCUCUGUUAAGUCAUCUCAGGACAGAGGUCUUGCUGAACUCCUGUUUUUGCUCCCUCGGCCAUACCAUAUCCAUUAAGACUCCCUGCCCAGAUCUCUACCUAUUGUAUACCUAUUUCCUUCUUUUCCUCCUUCACGCUCAUUUUGUCCACUGUAGGGCAUCCACUGACAGAAACCACCUGCUUACUUGAGCCUCUGCCUAAUGGCUGUUGGCUCCUUCGGUGUACUACUGGCCAAGGCAGAUUUUGUUCCUGCUGGAGAAUCAUUGGAUCAACAGCAUGCUGUCUGUAUUAACUCUGUCAGGUCUAUGGGUCCUUCCAAAUCUAUCCAUCUUGCCAAAAACAAAACUCUAUUUGUGGGAUCUCUAAUCUGUUGAUGUCAGAAUCUUCUUCUCAAUUCCUUUUGUGGCCAUUGAUGCCAGCUAAUAAAUUAACUCCUUGUCCCUAUUCUAUGAGGGCAGAGGUGGGUGACAUAAUUGACAUGACUUAACAUUACCAUUGGAGAAUUUUCACAUCUGUCCAUGUGGGGAGCCUGGGAAAUUAUUCAUACAGAAGAUGCUUCUUGUUUUUGAAUGGAGGGAGAGGUCAACUGACCAUCUCAAUUCAUGCUUAAAAAGCCAAAAUGAACUCAUUUAACCUGAAAUAAUAAAAUUAUUUAUAAAAUUGUAUUGAUAUCUAAGCCUUUAGUGUUUAAACAUUUUUCAGCACCUGUGAAGAGAUAAAGAUGUCCACAGAAAGCAGAAAAUAUAAAAGUCAAUUCUCUGACUAGAGUGGAAGACUGCAUUAUUUGAGAUUCUCUUGCCUGUCUCCAAUAAAACUGAAGACAUGUAAAAAUAACCUCUUAUUUGCAUAUAAAAUAGCUACAUAAAAUUGGUCUAUGGCUUAUCUUAUGCUGUAAACACAAGGA